GAGAGCCAAAUGAAUCGAAAGAUUCAUAUUUGGUUCGGGAAGGGAUCAUGGAAUUUUUGAAAUAAAAAAAUGAAUGUAAAGAUAAUGAAUCUAGUUGAUACCAAUUUACC
rnacentral:ncRNA from 1 species